UCCUACGGGGGGCAGCAGUGAGGAAUAUUGGUCAAUGGGCGGGAGCCUGAACCAGCCAAGUCGCGUGAGGGAAGACGGUCCUACGGAUUGUAAAUCUCUUUUGCCGGGGAGCAACGGGGUCCUUGCGAGGGCCCGAUGAGAGUACCCGGAGAAAAAGCAUCGGCUAACUCCGUGCCAGCAGCCGCGGUAAUACGGAGGAUGCGAGCGUUAUCCGGAUUUAUUGGGUUUAAAGGGUGCGUAGGCGGUCCGUUAAGUCAGCGGUAAAAUUGCGGGGCUCAACCCCGUCGAGCCGUUGAAACUGGCAG
rnacentral:rRNA from 1 species